AAGGAUAUGACUUAAUGGUAGAGUAUAUGUCUUCAACACAUUUUGUAGCAGUUCGAAUCUGCUUGUCCUUG
rnacentral:tRNA from 1 species